GGGGGGGGGGGGGGGGGGGGGGGGGGGGGGGGGGGGGGGGGGGGGGGGGGGGGGGGGGGGGGCAGGGACAGCGCCGGCGCUGCUGCCGGCGCUGUCCCUGGUGCUGGCGGAGGCACCGCGCUCCCGCCGCCAGACCGCCGGUCCCCGGUCGGGCAGACGCGCCCGGGUGGCCCUCGCGAUGAGACCGUCCUCGGCUGAAGAAAACGCAGGAUCCCGACGGGAUUGAGCGGAGAGCAAGGCAGGGGUGCGGGGACGGCAGGAGAGCGGCUCGCCCUGGGGGGGGGGGGGGGGGGGGGGGGGGGGGGGGGGGGGGGGGGGGGGGGGGGGGGGGGGGGGGGGGGGGGGGGGGGGGGGGGGGGGGGGGGCGCCGACGCGCAGUGCACAGCCGCUGCCCCGGGGCAGCCCCCGAGCGGGUUCCCCCCGCGCAUCCUUCCCUCCGAGUGCCUCCCACCCCCCCUCUGAAACAGCCGGGUUGGAAGCAAGUCCUGCGGGGGCUCUGUCCCGCUCCUAUCCCGACUCCGACCACAGCCAUCUGCCGCGGCCUAAUUCUGCUCUUCCUCCAUCAAACAGCGGCCACAGCCAGGGCAGGGGAUGCUCUCAAACGCUAAAUAAGGCAAAACAACUAAGUAACAGCAGUAUCCACAAGAACUAUAAUGAUGGCAACACUCUCUGCCUGAAGGUCUUAGAGCUUUGUCCUCUUUCUUAUUGGUCUCAGCAGACAGCCUGACAGCAGCGGUUUUUUUUUACCAAAAACCAGAAUGCAGAUUGGACUUAUCACCCUUCUCUGCAAAGGGAUAAAUGGAGAGAAUUCCUGUCCUUUCAGCAGCCUGUGGCCUCUUCAUCCCUGUGUAGUCAUCGUUGCACUGUCUGGAGGACAGAUGAAGCACAUGAGCUACUCUGUUCUUCUCCUUCAGCUCGCAGACUUGGGGUCGGGUCUUCUGCCUGCUCCUGCCAUGCCACAUAGUUGGUGUCAUUUCUUCUUUUGUUCUGUUCACAUCUACCUAUACACGUAUAUACACAUUUCAUGUUUUCCGUGUAGUGUCAGAUUGUCACAAUAUCUGUUCACCAUUGCUCCUUACUUAUAUGUGCUUUGUAAGACUCAGCGCUUCACAGGAUCUCGGGGGAGCCAAGGAGAGAACAGAAGAAAGUCCAUCUUUGCCUGCUCAUGUGCAAGCCAGGAUGAUCCACAGCAGAGAUUGACCCUCACACAGGUGACGGCUAAGGAAGGUGUAGAGCGCAGGUAA
rnacentral:lncRNA from 12 species